rnacentral:ncRNA from 1 species
AUUGUAUUAGCGCCUGGACACAGGAAUAGCCUGUGUUGACGAGGUAGAGGCUUAUCGAAAGAUUCGGCGGAUGGUCUCUUGGUAUUAGAUUACUACCACAAAUAUUAGUUAAAGCCUUGCAGUAAUGUAAGUAUACAAAGCUAAUAGA